UCUGUUCCAGAGUCCCAGGUACACUCUGAGUUGAUGCAAGAAUCUUCAAUGUCAGCAUCUAAAGGGGAGAAGGUCACUCUCUUCCUGCACUGGAAAUAGCAACAAUGUUGGAGCUUAUUAUGUAGGCUGGUAUCAACAGAUUCUAGGUUCUGCCCCCAAAACUCUGAUGCUUGAAACUACUAGGCCUUCAGGAAUCCCUGAUCGCUUCUCUGGCUCCCAUUCUGGCAACACAGCCACCCUGACCAUCACUGGGCUCCAGGUGGAGGAUGAGGCCAAUUAUUACUGUGAAGCAUGGGACAAAAGCCUCAGUGCUCACACAGUGCUUCAGAUGCAUGGGGAACUG
rnacentral:lncRNA from 1 species